AAACCAACUGGGAUUACCUUAGUAACGGCGAGUGAAGCGGUAAAAGCUCAAAUUUGAAAUCUGGUACUUUCAGUGCCCGAGUUGUAAUUUGUAGAAUUUGUCUUUAAUUAGGUCCUUGUCUAUGUUCCUUGGAACAGGACGUCAUAGAGGGUGAGAAUCCCGUUUGGCGAGGAUACCUUUUCUCUGUAAGACUUUUUCGAAGAGUCGAGUUGUUUGGGAAUGCAGCUCAAAGUGGGUGGUAAAUUCCAUCUAAAGCUAAAUAUUGGCGAGAGACCGAUAGCGAACAAGUACAGUGAUGGAAAGAUGAAAAGAACUUUGAAAAGAGAGUGAAAAAGUACGUGAAAUUGUUGAAAGGGAAGGGCAUUUGAUCAGACAUGGUGUUUUUGCAUGCACUCGCCUCUCGUGGGCUUGGGCCUCUCAAAAUUUCACUGGGCCAACAUCAAUUCUGGCAGCAGGAUAAAUCAUUAAGAAUGUAGCUACUUCGGUAGUGUUAUAGCUUUUUGGAAUACUGUUAGCCGGGAUU
rnacentral:rRNA from 1 species